ACGAUCUAACGGCAGUUACUGUACGUUGGGAGGGAGAGAGACAUUUUCUUCAGUGCUGUAGCCCCUGAGUUAACUGCCCUUGCUCCUGUGCAUGGUCCCUCCCCGGUGUUCCUGAGGUGGCCAUCCAUCACAGGGGCUUGUACGUGUGGUCUGCAGUUCUUGCUCCUGCAACAUGUCAACCUGAGAUGGCCUGGCACAAAGUACUAUACUGGGUGAUCAGAACUGUAGGGAUUCAGGAUCAGCCACUUGCAGAAGCCAGAAGCCCAAGAUCAAGAGGAACUCCCGAAGGACUAGGGGACGUCACCCACUGUGCUUGCGGUAGUGCGUCUUUGAUCUCUCUACAGUGUCCUCCUCUCUUGGGUGUGCACAUGUUCAAGCUUCCGCUUCUGUAAGGACAUUGAAUUUGGGCUCAGCCAGGGAUGAAGAGUUGAGGACCACUAGAGGCUGUGGAGCAUCUUUUGGAAGGCUAAGCCUCAGAAGGACAAAAUCAGAAAGCAAAGCAGGAGAAAAGAAAUUGACCACAGAAACCUAGUCCAGGAUCUGUGGGGUGUGACACCUCAAGCAGAAAGGUAAUUCAACAAGCAGUUUUCUUUCCCCUCCCUCCCAGGGAGCCAAGGCGAUGGGAGGAGAGAGACCCUGCUCUCAGAUAGAGGACAUCGAAGAGCAAGAAUGACAUCAGAAAGAUUCAGGGGACAUGAAGGAUUUGGGAGACUGCCCAUCUGGAAGAGCCCCAGAGCAUCUUUGGGAAGCCUCCAGCCUCCCAUCCAGAUGUGAGGUAAGAGGCAAGGGAGCAGCAGAGGAAACAGGAGAGCAGAGGCAGGCACAGGGUGCCUUGGGUGCAGCCCUCAGUGAAAGAAGAAGGUGCUAAGGUCACAAGGGGGAAGGGCCCUAGGUCAAGGUCAAGGCCGUGUGUGUGUGUGUGUGUGUGUGUGUGUGUGUACUCACGUGCGUUCUUGCAAACAGGUACCAUUAGGACUUUGAUCUGGGGACACAGUUGGAGUGUAAGGACCUAAGUUUGGAUCCUUAGAAUCCAUGUAAAACCUUGUAGGAAGUUUGUGAAGCGCCAUUCAAACAUGAGCCCUACAGGUCCUCCUACCAUCUGCCUCUUUCCCACUUUCAUCUCGUCUGGGAAGGACCAACUGCAGGAGGUGGAUGAGAAAGGAAGGAGGGAGGGCUGCUCAAGGCCCAGCUUACCUGACCUACCGUGCUGCCUGUCCUUCCAACCCAACCCCACACCAUGCAGCCGAGGAUGCUGUGAGCAGCUGCAAUGUUGUGGAGGAGAUCCGCUUUGACUUGGGAUCCAAUGAAACAUCACCUGAUGACAUCAUCUCCAUGAACCCUCCCCGGGACAGGAGAACAAAAGAGGAGAGCGACAGGAGGAGAUCCCCUGAAGAGCCAUCACUGGUCACUGGGUUCUAUCAUCAGUGAGCACUGGCCGCAGCCAGGAGGCCCCCACAGCCUCCCACACCACUAGACAAAGGGGCUGGAAGGAGGUGGGGUGCAGAUUGGUCACUUGCUUCACACUCUAUGUUGUUGCCUCUCUAUCUCAGAGGAAAACAGCACAUUUCCCAGGGGUAAAAACAGGCCCAGCUCUGUGAUCAUCAAACCACAGGGCUGGGCUCAGCCUGGUAUGGACUGAGAGCUACAGGGAGGAGCCUGGCCAGGACUCCUGGGGCCUGUCUGCUCACACAACCUGUUGCCAUUCAGACAACCCUGGGAGGCAGGCACCAGCUCCCCUACCCCUCCUCUAGCUGCUGGGUCUCAGCUAACGGCUCCUCCUUCCUGUAGUUCAACAUGAGGCCAGUCUUGUCCUCUGGAGAAGGACGUGGUCCACAUGGCUUCCACCUUAUGAAGCUACAUCCCUCCAGCCUCUGCAGGACAUGUGGGAUGGAGCGCCCACAGUGAGAGAACUGAGUGUCUCACUGGGCUCAGGGUCUUCAUCAGCUUGCCCCCUCCUCCUCACCAACAUUAUCACUGAUCAGUUCAGAGACUAUGCCUCCUUCCUGCAGGCACCAAAGGUGCUGGCCCCCUGUCCCAGGAUUCCAGAAACUGGUGGAAUUUCUUCCUGCAUGUCUUGACUUUCAUUUUGACUACACUUUUGAGAAUUUUUUUUUUCUAUUACUGACGAAAGGUUCUCCAGAAAACCUUGAAAGGGCUUAAGAAUGUGUCCCCAGCUGAUCCCUGCAAGGUCAAUGUAGAACUGGCCCUGGCCCUGGCCCUGGAUGGAGUCGCUCGGGGAAGGGCAGUGUUUCUCCAUCUCGUCCCAGGUCACUGCUGAUGUGAAGAUGAGGAACUUGGGCGCAUCCACGUGAACAAUCUCUCUUUGGCCUUAAAGGGCUGCGUCGCCCUGAAAGAGCCACAGCUCAGUGAGGCUGCUCUUAAGGUCACAAGUUCAAACCGAACAUAGAGAACUCCGUUCUGUAGCUGCCGCAUGAUGUUUAGUGGCUACCUGGAUGGCUGAGAAGACACUGUAAUUGAACUCCAAGGGCUCUCACGUUUAUGGAUGUAAAGACGCACCACGCAGAUGAUGAUACAUACAGAGAUGAGAAAGAUUUAAUACCCUCAGCAAGUUAGGAAUCGAUUAAGCCACUGUCCCCCUCUGAGGAGAGCGUGAGGACUUUACUCAGGGAGCUUAAAUAUAGUCCUGGAUGAGCAGCCAUUCAUAAGCAUGCUUGGCAAAGGAGGGCAGCACCUUCGUGGCCAUGCACAGUUUAAGGUAAUGGAGCACACGCUUCGAUUUAAAUGAUGUUGAGAGAGUCUCCCACAAAGGUGCCCACCUUGCUUCGCGGCGGCCAACAGCACCACUGUUGGUACUUGGUGUUAUGCAGCUGCCUGUAGGCACAAGACUCACAGGAAGUCAAAACCAAUGGAGGGAUAAAGACAGUCCUGAAAACUCUUUGUGUGUGAUGGCUGCGGUUACCCUGAACAAAUCUCAUCCCCCAAGAAGAGGCCCUGACGUCAGAGAUGGUGCCCAGCUCAUAGCUCCAAGGUUCCUUCCCGAUAGAGCCUGCGUCUUCAGAGAUGCAUCAGUGACGCUGCUGAUGCACGAGAGUGCAUGGCUGUUUCCAUGCACUGCUUCGCCAUUUUCUGCAAGGAUCUGCCUCCCCACUUGCAGAGCACAGAGGUGUCCAGGUGGCACUAACUGCCCCCACCCCUCCUCCAGGCUUUUUUCUGCUGUUGCAGGAUGCCCAGGCCCUGUGCUUGUUGGCAUUUGUUCUGUCAGGCUUCAAGCUUUUUCUCUUGGAAGCCUUUUAAGAGCCAAACCCUCACCAUUUGCUGAAUAAAACUUUCCCAGGGUUAAAACACUCUUUGUGCUAAGGGAUAAAGACAACUUAAAGGGUUCGGGUCCUCUGUGGGGCCACCGGGUUACACUAAACUGCUGCUGCAUGCACACAGCUCAUAGUGACCCUUCUCACAGUGUCCUCCCAUGUUGUCUUCCCCCAUAGCCUAAUGAGGAAUGGCUACAGCUUCACCCACAGAGCACAUAAAUCUCUCUUGUACCUUUGGAAGUGCAAAUGAGAGGUUCAUUAAUUAGGUAGACCUGUGCCGAUAGGUGUGCUGUGCAGGUCACCUCGGGAUUAGACAGGUUAGAGAUUGCAUCACAGACAGAAACCUCCAAACAUUGGGGGCAAAAUUACUCUUCUGUAGUCACAAACUGAAAACCUCUGAAUUUGUACAUUUUUAGAUGGGUGACUGGCAUACUUGUCUCCUUGGAGGAAGGCAUGAUGUGGCCUAUUCCUCCAAAUAGCCAGGGGAGGAGACUUCAAGUAGUAGAAAUGCAGAGAUGUUUGGACUGCUAAGCUGCCUGUAACCAUGCAAAGAGGCCCAGGUUUUCAGCUUUCAUGGACUGUCACCCAAGUUUGGGUGGGCCUUCUGGUGGUAAACAUGCCUUUUUUUCCCCCUUAAAGUCAUUGCUGUACCUUGUAUGUAACCCCACGUCAAUAUUCCUGGCAGUGACCCCAAUAAAACUUCAUUGCCUCACCAAAGAAAAUG
rnacentral:lncRNA from 1 species